rnacentral:rRNA from 1 species
UACAGAGGGUGCGAGCGUUGUUCGGAAUUAUUGGGCGUAAAGGGCGCGUAGGCGGUGCCACAAGUCACUUGUGAAAUCUCCGGGCUUAACUCGGAGCCUGCAGGCGAAACUGUGGUGCUGGAGUAUGGGAGAGGUGCGUGGAAUUCCCGGUGUAGCGGUGAAAUGCGUAGAUAUCGGAAAGAACACCAAUGGCGAAGGCAAGUUACUGGACAAAUACUGACGCUGAGGCGCGAAGGCGUGGGGAGCAAACAGG